AAAGUUCUCCUCCUCUAUAAAGCCGCCUCCUUCCGUUACCUCUCUCCUUCUUCCGAUUUCUCGCCUCUUUUUCUCGCUUAAUUAUUUUGUCCUUCUUCUCGUCGGAUCUAUCGGUCGGCCGGUGGCGGCGAUGGCAGGAGCAAGGGAGGAGAACGUGUACAUGGCGAAGCUGGCCGAGCAGGCGGAGCGGUAUGAGGAGAUGGUGGAGUUCAUGGAGAAGGUCGCCGCGGCGGCGGCGGAGGGGGAGGAGCUCACGGUGGAGGAGCGCAACCUCCUCUCGGUGGCCUACAAGAACGUCAUCGGCGCCCGCCGCGCCUCCUGGCGGAUCGUGUCGUCGAUCGAGCAGAAGGAGGAGAGCCGCGGCAACGAGGACCACGUCGCCGCCAUCCGCGACUACCGGGGCAAGAUCGAGACCGAGCUCACCAACAUCUGCAACGGGAUCCUCAAGGUCCUCGACGCCAGCCUUAACCCUCCGCCUCGGUCUCCGAGUCCAAGGUCUUCUACCUUAAGAUGAAGGGCGACUACCACCGCUACCUCGCCGAGUUCAAGACCGGCUCCGCCCGCAAGGAUGCCGCCGAGGGCACCCUCUCCGCCUACAAGUCCGCCCAGGAUAUUGCGGUGGCGGAGCUGGCACCGACGCACCCGAUCCGGCUGGGGCUGUCGCUCAACUUCUCGGUGUUUUACUACGAGAUCUUAAACUCACCGGACCGGGCAUGUGCUCUCGCGAAACAGGCAUUUGAUGAAGCAAUUGCAGAACUGGAUACACUUGGCGAGGAAUCUUACAAAGAUAGCACUCUUAUCAUGCAGCUCCUUCGAGAUAAUCUUACCUUGUGGACUUCAGACAUGCAGGAUGAUGGGGUGGACGAGUUUAAAGAAGCACCCAAGCAUGAGGGCGAACAGAAGUAGCUGGUAUGAAAUUGGUUCCUCAGUGCUGAUCAAGGGUCCCUCUGAUUGGUCGUACUUAUAAUAUAGGAGAGAUAUGGAUAUUACUUGUUUGUUAGCGGGUUUGAUCUCUUGGUAUUCCUUUUAUCACCUAUUUACUGACUCCUGAAAUGUCAUCCUGUUGUUGUUCCUUUUUAAAAAAAAA